CGACAGGCUUAACACAUGCAAGUCGAGGGGCAGCGGGGGUAGCGAUACCCGCCGGCGACCGGCGCACGGGUGAGUAACGCGUAUGCAACUUGCCUAUCAGAGGGGGAUAACCCGGCGAAAGUCGGACUAAUACCGCAUGAAGCAGGGGCCCCGCAUGGGGAUAUUUGCUAAAGAUUCAUCGCUGAUAGAUAGGCAUGCGUUCCAUUAGGCAGUUGGCGGGGUAACGGCCCACCAAACCGACGAUGGAUAGGGGUUCUGAGAGGAAGGUCCCCCACAUUGGUACUGAGACACGGACCAAACUCCUACGGGAGGCAGCAGUGAGGAAUAUUGGUCAAUGGCCGAGAGGCUGAACCAGCCAAGUCGCGUGAGGGAUGAAGGUUCUAUGGAUCGUAAACCUCUUUUAUAAGGGAAUAAAGUGCGGGACGUGUCCCGUUUUGUAUGUACCUUAUGAAUAAGGAUCGGCUAACUCCGUGCCAGCAGCCGCGGUAAUACGGAGGAUCCGAGCGUUAUCCGGAUUUAUUGGGUUUAAAGGGUGCGUAGGCGGCCUUUUAAGUCAGCGGUGAAAGUCUGUGGCUCAACCAUAGAAUUGCCGUUGAAACUGGGGGGCUUGAGUAUGUUUGAGGCAGGCGGAAUGCGUGGUGUAGCGGUGAAAUGCAUAGAUAUCACGCAGAACCCCGAUUGCGAAGGCAGCCUGCCAAGCCAUUACUGACGCUGAUGCACGAAAGCGUGGGGAUCAAACAGGAUUAGAUACCCUGGUAGUCCACGCAGUAAACGAUGAUCACUAGCUGUUUGCGAUACACUGUAAGCGGCACAGCGAAAGCGUUAAGUGAUCCACCUGGGGAGUACGCCGGCAACGGUGAAACUCAAAGGAAUUGACGGGGGCCCGCACAAGCGGAGGAACAUGUGGUUUAAUUCGAUGAUACGCGAGGAACCUUACCCGGGUUUGAACGCAUUCGGACCGAGGUGGAAACACCUUUUCUAGCAAUAGCCGUUUGCGAGGUGCUGCAUGGUUGUCGUCAGCUCGUGCCGUGAGGUGUCGGCUUAAGUGCCAUAACGAGCGCAACCCUUGCCACUAGUUACUAACAGGUAAAGCUGAGGACUCUGGUGGGACUGCCAGCGUAAGCUGCGAGGAAGGCGGGGAUGACGUCAAAUCAGCACGGCCCUUACAUCCGGGGCGACACACGUGUUACAAUGGCGUGGACAAAGGGAGGCCACCUGGCGACAGGGAGCGAAUCCCCAAACCACGUCUCAGUUCGGAUCGGAGUCUGCAACCCGACUCCGUGAAGCUGGAUUCGCUAGUAAUCGCGCAUCAGCCAUGGCGCGGUGAAUACGUUCCCGGGCCUUGUACACACCGCCCGUCAAGCCAUGGGAGCCGGGGGUACCUGAAGUCCGUAACCGAAAGGAUCGGCCUAGGGUAAAACUGGUGACUGGGGC
rnacentral:rRNA from 1 species